AUGUAGCAUAAUGCAUACAAUGUUAAUGCACCAGAUCCCAUUAGAAAUCCCCAAUUAAGUGCGCUUGGGAUAGAGUAGUAUUGGGAUGGGUGACCUCUCGGGAGGUCCUAGUAUUUUACAUG
rnacentral:rRNA from 1 species